rnacentral:rRNA from 1 species
AGCAGCCGCGGUAAUUCCAGCUCCAAUAGCGUAUAUUAAAGUUGUUGCAGUUAAAAAGCUCGUAGUUGAAUUUCGGGGUCAGUAGGUUGGUCGUGCCACUGGUAUGUACUGGCUUCACUGAUUCCUCCCUCUUGUAGAACCGUAAUGCCAUUAAGUUGGUGUUGCGGGGAAACAGGACUGUUACUUUGAAAAAAUUAGAGUGUUUAAAGCAGGCUAACGCUUGAAUACAUUAGCAUGGAAUAAUGAAAUAGGACGAUCGAUCCUAUUUUGUUGGUUUCUAGGAUUGACGUAAUGAUUAAUAGGGAUAGUUGGGGGCAUUAGUAUUCAAUUGUCAGAGGUGAAAUUCUUGGAUUUAUUGAAGACUAACUACUGCGAAAGCAUUUGCCAAGGAUGUUUUCAUUAAUCAAGAACGAAAGUUAGGGGAUCGAAGACGAUCAGAUACCGUCGUAGUCUUAACCAUAAACUAUGCCGACUAGGGAUCGGAUGAUGUUUAAUUUUUAAUAGUACUCUAGUUCCGGCG